ACUGAAUUCUCGUGGUUCUGCAUUGCAUACCAUGACGAGGUAAACGUAUUGUAAUUGAAAUUUUGUAGCACCAUGAGAUUCAGCUC
rnacentral:pre_miRNA from 1 species